GUGCCCAAUUCAGCAGCACAUACACUAAAAUUGGAAUAAUAGGGAAGGUUAGGACAAUCCCUGGCAAAGAUGAUAUGCAAACUUGUGAAGUGUCCUGUAUUUUU